rnacentral:misc_RNA from 1 species
AAGUCGUAACAAGGUUUCCGUAGCUGCGGAAGGAUCAUUAACACGUAUCCAACGUUAAACCCCCCCGUGAACCUUCAGUGCGCUCGCACUUUCUUAGAAAAGGUAGCAAUCCCUGGUAAAUCAUUGCCGAACAGUUUUGAUUCAGGGACUUCUGUACGAAUGGCGCAGUCACGAUCGCUCGGCGACCGGGUCACUGGGCGCGAGCCCCCCUCGUCACCUUUGCAUGAAAACGGGCCUGCGAAUUGUGCGGCCACCAAACUCGAACAACUGUUAACAAGGGAUAUCUUGGUUCUC